GAUGAGUUAAUCUCCGAGGGUAAGGAAGGGGUUGAAUCUAAACAUUGUAAAGAAAAGACUGAUUCCCUGCCAGCACUUCCAUUUCCUCAUGCCAUGACCAAACAAAGGAAAGUCAAUCACAACUCUGAAAUCUUUGAAACUUUCAAACAGGUAAGGAUCAAUAUACCUUUGUUAGAUGCUAUUAAACAGGUACCUUCUUAUGCUAAAUUUUUAAAAGAUCUGUGCACUGUGAAGAGAAAACUAAAUGUGAAAAAGAAAGUCUUUUUAGCCGAACAAGAAGUAGACUUUAUUGAAAAAUUAGUUUAUGAUCAAUUUCAAACUACUUCCAAUGAAAUUGAGUUUAAUGAAUCUGAAGAUUUGCAAAUGGUUUAUUUUUAGGAAGAAUCAAGGGCAAGUAAUUGGAGACCACAAAUUGAAGAAUUGCCACCACGAUCAAUUGAGUCUAUACCUUCAAGUGUUCAACCACCAAAACCUGAUUUGAAGCCGUUACCAUUCAAUCUGAAAUACUCAUUUUUGGGAGAAAAUGAAACUUUUCUGGUAAUAAUCUCUUCCAAACUUAAUGCACAUCAAGAAGGUAAGUUGUUACAAACUCUGAAAAUGCACAAAAAUGCAUUAGGAUGGACCAUAGCUGACAUAAAAGGAAUUAGUCCUUUGAUUUGCACACACAGGAUUUAUUUGGAGAAAAAUGCUAAACCCUCUAGAGAAAUGCAACGAAGGCUUAAUCCUAAUAUGAAAGAAGUCGUGAGGAAUGAAGUCAUUAAGCUUCUAGAUAAUGGAAUCAUUUAUCCUAUUUCUGACAGCAAAUGGGUAAGUCCUACCCAAGUUGUACCCAAGAAGUCUGGAGUUACUGUGAUAACAAAUGAGAAAAAUGAGUUAAUUCCAACUAGGACUAUUACUGGUUGGCGCAUGUGCAUUGACUAUAGGAAACUUAAUUCAAUGACUAGAAAAGAUCAUUUCCCUUUACCUUUCAUGGAUCAAAUCCUAGAAAGAGUUGCAGGUCAUGAAUUUUAUUGUUUCCUAGAUGGCUAUUCAGGUUACAACCAAAUUGAAAUUGCAUUGGAAGAUCAAGAGAAGACUACUUUCACAUGUCCAUUUGGAACUUUUGCAUAUAGAAGGAUGCCUUUUGGAUUAUGUAAUGCACCAACCACGUUUCAAAGAUGCAUGCUUAGCAUAUUCAGUGAUAUGGUUGAACGUUUUCUUGAAUUUUUUAUGGAUGAUUUUUCUGUUUUUGGCGAUUCAUUUGAUGAUUGUUUGACUAACUUAGAAAAGGUUUUGAGCAGGUUGACAAAUCUAAAAUUGAGUUAAUUGCCAACUUGCCAACACCAAAAUCUGUUAAAGAUGUUAGAUCAUUCUUAGGACAUGCUGGAUUUUACAGAAGGUUCAUCAAAGAUUUUAGUGUCAUAUCUAAGCCAUUGUGUAACCUUCUAACAAAGGAAAAUGUUUUUGAAUAGACUGAACAAUGUGAAAAGCCUUUGUUAAACUUAAAAGCUUGCUCACUUCUGCUCCUGUCAUUCAACCUUCUGAUUGGUCAUUACCUUUUGAAAUAAUGUGUGAUGCUAGUGAUUAUGCCGUUGGUGCUGUCUUAGGACAAAGAAAAGAUAAGAAACCCUAUGUAAUUUACUAUGCAAGUAAAACUUUAAAUAGUGCUCAAAUGAAUUAUACUACCACUGAAAAGGAAUUACUUGCAAUAAUAUUUGCAUGUGACAAGUUCAGAUCUUAUCUUGUUGGCUCACCUGUUGUUAUUUUUAGUGAUCAUGCAGCUUUGAAAUAUUUUCUUUCAAAAAAGGAUUCUAAGGCUAGAUUGGUACGAUGAAUUUUGUUACUUCAAGAAUUUGAUAUCACAAUCAAAGACAAGAAAGGCACCGAAAAUGUUGUCGCGGAUCAUUUGUCAAGAUUGACAAUAGAUUCCACAUCUGACAUCACACAAAUCAAUGAUUUCUUUCCUGAUGAAUAUUUACUUUCUGUUGCUACAAUGCCUUGGUUUGCUAAUAUUGUUAAUUUUCUUGUUUCAGGACAUUUGCCAGCUCAUUGGAGCACCCAAGACAAAAGAAAGUUCUUGACCAAAGUGAAGAACUUUUUUUGGGAUGACCCAUAUUUAUUCAAAUAUUGUCCUGAUCAAAUAUUUCGAAGAUGCAUUCCUGACAAUGAGAUUUGUGAAAAUUGUCAAAAGUUGGGAUCUAUUUCAAAAUGUCACAUGAUGCCUUUAAAUCAUAUUCUUGUCAUUGAGAUCUUUGACUGUUGGGGUAUAGAUGUUAUGGGUCCAUUUCCUCCAUCAUUUGGUUUCUUGUACAUAUUAGUCGCAGUAGAUUAUGUUUCAAAAUGGAUAGAGGCAAUUCCAAGUCGAAACAAUGAUCACAAAACAGUGAUAAAGUUUUUGAAAGAAAAUAUUUUAAGUCGAUUUGGAAUCCCUCGAGCCAUGAUAAGUGAUGGUGGAACACAUUUCUGCAACAAGUCAUUUGAGUCUUUAAUGAAGAAAUAUGGAAUCACACACAAAGUUGCCACCCCUUAUCACCCUCAAACAAGUGGACAAGUAGAACUUGCUAAUAGGGAGAUCAAA